GCACCCACCACGAGCUCGCAUCGAUGCUAUUUCUUAGGUCUGUUGAUCUGCGCGUACAGAGGCUCUGGCUCCUGUGGAUAAAGGAACAAAAUUUGUCCACGUCUCUGCCCUGCUUCAAAUCCUUCAGAGGCUCCCCAUCACCCACAGGGAUGAUCUUUCUGAAAUGGAUUUGGCCAUGCCAGUCUCCUGCCUGAAACAGCCCUCCUGGCUCCUUGUCACUCAAAGGAAAAGGCAAACUCCUCAAGACUGCACAUAAUGCCCACCUUCCCAACCAGCCUCUCCUACUGCCACUCUCUCUCCUACACCCUACCUUCCAAACCCUACUUGGGGUUCACCCUCACAUGCUGGAGUUUUCCCAUCUCUGAGACUUCAUUCAGGCAGUUCCUUCUGGCUUCGGAGGCUUCUUUGUUCCUAAAGUUCAUACUUUAAGACCUAGCUGAAAUAUCAAGGCUUCCUGGACUCUGCAGGUGACACGAGCCACUGUGCUCCUGGAUGCUUCAGAACCUGUGCAGAUCUCUGUCUUCACUCCUACUAUGGCAUCUCCUAGCAUGUUCUACACUGAGCUCCACUGGGCCUUGCAUGUCAGUAUCCCGAAUUCUGAAUGAAGCUUGGAACAUGGGAGGUGCAUCCACUAACAACAUGAAGAAUGAAGACAUGUAUUGACUACCUUUGACAAAAGUAUGUCAAAAGCAAUACAUCUUACUAGUGGAGCGAAGACACUGCAUGCUGACAAAGGUGAUCUCAGAUGUGAGGUCGAUGGUGCGCCAUGCAAUCAGCUUGCUGAGUGAGCCUACUUAUGCCCCAUCCCGGGGGCCUAGGGUAAGAAAAGUGCCAAGCGAAGCUGAGGAUCAGACUAAAGCUGGAAGGUGUCAAGGCACAGGCUGAGUCAUCAGAACACCUUCCCUGAAUUGUGUCAAACAAGUGUACAUGUGCUCAAGUGUAUCUGGAUUCUGAUUUGGCUGCACAGUCACUGUUUUCCAGAUGUUUGCAGAAGAAAUAUGAGCUGGAGGAGACUCACUGAAAGCUGGAACUAGAAGGAUGCACACUGCUCAUCCAAGCCAAUUCACUUAUUUUACCAAUGAUAAAACUGAGUCUCAGAGAAGUCAUACGCUUGCCCAAAGACACAGCUUGUGGUGGAGGAGUCAACACCAGAACUCUGGUCCAGGACUGCAAAAAAACACUUAACAUGUGCUAAUAAUGAGGAUAAAAGAUACUUCAAAUUCUGGGAGUUCUAUAAUGUUUGAGCACAUAUACCAUUGAAUCCUUUUAAUAACCCAUCGCUUACACAGAUGAGGAAACCAAGGCUCAUAGAAAUAAAGUGCUUUGCCAAAAGGCACAAAACUGGUCAGUAAUAAAUCUGAUCUCCAGGUUCCCAGUCCAGAACUUUCUGCAGCACUAUCUUUUUGUUCCCUUUAACUACCAGAAGCUUUAACCCAAAAUGAGGCUUCAACUAUAAAAGCUAUUUAAGACCUUAUGGCUGCGUAUCUCUGCCCUAAGUUUUCUCUUGAUCCUUAUUUUAUAUUCUAAUGUUUAAAACUUGUUCCCCAAAUUUUUAAAGUUUGCAUUCAUUUUAUUUCAAUAAGCCACGCCAAAAUCUGUGUGUCAUAAGCUAUCUAUACGUAAAUAAAUGAACGAAUGAAUGAGCAAACAAACAAAAUCUUAAGAGGCAGAGUAACAUGGUGGAAAAAUACCAGGCUUACAUUCAAUUCAAUACCACUUUGUCUAUUGUCUUCAUCUUUGAGCCUCACUUUCAUUAUCUGUCAAACAGGUCUAACAAAAUUUAUCAUUAAGCAUUAUUAUAAGUCUAAAAAUAAACAUGGAACAUAUGAAGAA
rnacentral:lncRNA from 1 species